rnacentral:rRNA from 1 species
GACGGAGGAUGCAAGUGUUAUCCGGAAUCACUGGGCGUAAAGCGUCUGUAGGUGGUCAAAUAAGUCAACUGUUAAAUCUUGAGGCUCAACCUCAAAAUCGCAGUCGAAACUAUUCGGCUAGAGUAUAGUAGGGGUAAAGGGAAUUUCCAGUGGAGCGGUGAAAUGCGUAGAGAUUGGAAAGAACACCGAUGGCGAAGGCACUUUACUGGGCUAUUACUAACACUGAGAGACGAAAGCUAGGGUAGCAAAUGGG